UACGUAGGGAGCUAGCGUUGUCCGGAAUCAUUGGGCGUAAAGCGCGCGUAGGCGGCCCUGUAAGUCCGUUGUGAAAGUCAAAGGCUCAACCUUUGAAAGCCGAUGGAUACUGCAGGGCUAGAGUCCGGAAGAGGCGAGUGGAAUUCCUGGUGUAGCGGUGGAAUGCGCAGAUAUCAGGAGGAACACCAAUAGCGAAGGCAGCUCGCUGGGACGGUACUGACGCUAAGGCGCGAAAGCGUGGGGAGCGAACAGGA
rnacentral:rRNA from 1 species